rnacentral:rRNA from 1 species
UACGUAGGGUGCAAGCGUUAAUCGGAAUUACUGGGCGUAAAGCGUGCGCAGGCGGUUCUAUAAGACAGAUGUGAAAUCCCCGGGCUUAACCUGGGAACUGCAUUUGUGACUGGCAAGCUAGAGUAUGGCAGAGGGGGGUAGAAUUCCACGUGUAGCAGUGAAAUGCGUAGAGAUGUGGAGGAAUACCGAUGGCGAAGGCAGCCCCCUGGGCCAAUACUGACGCUCAUGCACGAAAGCGUGGGGAGCAAACAGG